GGUUAAGCGACUAAGCGUACACGGUGGAUGCCCUGGCAGUCAGAGGCGAUGAAGGACGUGCUAAUCUGCGAUAAGCGUCGGUAAGGUGAUAUGAACCGUUAUAACCGGCGAUUUCCGAAUGGGGAAACCCAGUGUGUUUCGACACACUAUCAUUAACUGAAUCCAUAGGUUAAUGAGGCGAACCGGGGGAACUGAAACAUCUAAGUACC
rnacentral:rRNA from 1 species